UUCGUGGUCCAUCGCGAUGAGCAGAACGGGAGCAGCAGCAAAGAUGGGCGGAAUCGGCAGUCAUUUGAAAGCUGACGCCUUAUCUCUGGCCUGACGCGUUCUGACGUUUUACGACAGACUGCAUUGUUUCUCUCGACCUGCGAGUGUUCACGCAGUGUGCCUGCAGUGAGCGACACGGCCUACGGAUGUUGUUUGCCUCGAGCUUCGCGGGGAUCGGAAGAUUUUAUGAGUGCGUGCCGACUACAACGCGCGAGUGUGCAGUCGGCUUUCAAGAGAACAAAGCUCCUUAAUAGAACAGCCCGCCGCAUGGUGCAGGAAAUCUGAGCGUGGUCUGUUGUGACUGCAGUGACGAAGUAAUCGCGCGUUGUGGUCUGGUAGAGCUUUUGUUCCGCGCGCUCUCUUGUAUUGCUCGCGUCGGACGCGCUGCGUUGCGUUGGAACUUGUUUAUUCCGCGACUGACGUACUUUACGAGUCCGGAUCUUAUUCCCUUUUGUGAUGCAAAUCAAACGCGGUCGUCGGGUGUGCACGCUUACUGUGAUGCGGCAGCAUGAUGCCUCAAUCAUUCCACUGACCAGCAGAUGGAAGAGAGUUUAAAACGAGCAAUGCAAUUAAUGUCUAAGAAGCUUAGGUUUUAUUGUCUGUAUGGACAAUGCACUGACUGCUGUUUCUUCUGUGACUUCAAAAGAGUGGACUGUUGGGCGAGUUGAUGCUUUGACAUAAAAACAAUUGUGAGGGCGCAACCAAACACAAGACAGGCGAGGACACGCCCCUGUCCUCGUCUGUCUCUUCCUGUGUGUUGUGUUUAGUUGCAGCCCUCACGGUGGUUUCGGUGUCCUUCUGGGACCUCGCUAUUCAUACUUGCCAAGGCACCGAAAUUAGCAAUUUAGCCAGUCUGUCAGCAGCUAAUAAUUGCGAUAGGGUAAAAAAUUUAAGUACACUUAGGAAAAUUUGCAUGAAGAACCUUGACACACAAUACUGCCACAAUGCAGUCUACCCAGGACGUUUUAGUUGUUGCAUUCUUUACAGCUCUCUCACAAGCGAUACCUGGACUGUACAGAAGAACGCUCAUGUUGAAAUUGUUUGACAGUUCAGGUGCAUCGCGGCGCACAUCUUUUGUCAUACUCGCAAUAUCAAUUAGUGAUAUUUUGUUGGCGCGUCACUGUCAAGAGCUGUGCAGCUUCGUGAUACCUCAUGUCGCAUGCAUUCUUGGCCCUUCCUCUGAUGUACACAUUUCAAUAUGUUUAUACAGCUCUACAGCGAGGAAAGUGCCAGCUGGAAAAGCAGAAGAGCAAUAUGCGAUAUUAUGACAGAGAGAUGCAGUUAGGCACAAAUUGUGUUUCUUCUCUGCCUGUUCGAUGUUUUGUUCCGUGCUGCACAGUCAAUUAUUAUUCUUACAGGUCCACCUGCAGUGAUCACUGUUCUUUUUUAUUUAGGUGAAUGCUAUUGCUAUAUACAGAGAAAACACAUGUCAAAGCACACCGCAUAGACUUUGAAUACUGUUUCUAAUAAUGAUUUGCCAGAUUUAAGAAUAGUAUGUUGUGCCCUGACCCAUUUGUUUCCAUUAAUUAACAUUUAUUUCUGUUAUUGCAGAAAUUUUAUUUUUACUGUUACAGCCCUCAUUGCAGCUGUAUUUUGUCACAGCUAGUUUUGUGGACAAUCAUUUUUUCAAGACUAAUGCAACCAAUGUUUAUUGAGAACACUGUAUGUAAAAAGCAGUGAAUAUUUGCUGAUGAGGCGCUUGGGCACAAGACAUUUUGUUGUCACUCGGACUCCAUUGGGAUCACUCAGAAAAGUGCAAUCCUCUACACUGUGGUUCUACCUUCUGUUUUCCUUUCUGUUUCCACCAUUUCGCUUACUGUCAUGGCUCUCUUUUUCGCCAUGUUUAGUUUGGAGACUGUGCCAAACUUAGCCUGAAUUGGUGCUCUUGACAGUAACUAAUGGCUGAUUAAAUAAUUAUCGAAGAAGGAUGGGCAAGCAUUUGUAUAAAAUUCAAGGUUCUCUACCUGUUUGUAUGGGUCGAGGAAUAUCUGAACAAAAAAAAAAAAUCGUACACAUCUCCCCGUAAAGGGAACCUUCAGUAGUAUGAAAAGUAGCCAUGGGUUGACACAAGCUUCUUGCUUUUUAUUCAUCACCAUAGACUUUUAUGGUUCUGCACACAGUUGCUUUGUGAGCCCUCGCCUUUGCCACGCUCGUGCUCAUGUGUUCAGUCAUGCUAUUACACUGUGUGCGUGAGAGAGAAAGGAGUAAGCGUUUUUAUUAUAUAGAGCAGUG